GGCAGGCGACCUGAGGUGUGCUUCUUGCACACACCCCCCCCUUUGGGAUACAUUUGGGGUAUGCAGAGGUGUCUCUGGACCCUGAGUUUUGUCCUUGAUGAGGCACGCGAGGCCAGGAGCUCCGCUGGGCUGGCGGAGCGCGGCCCUGCUGAAAGAACCUUCUGGCGUUGGCAGCACUGGGCACUUUGAGUCCUCACCUUGCCCCCGACCCCAACGUCAGGGACUCCCCGUGGGCGCGAUGGAAGAACGAUGUAGAGUGUGAAUUCAGUGAUGAUAUUCAAGAAAAAAAAAGAAACAACACCCCCCCCACACAGAUGCGGGAAAGCAAGAACGCGCUAGAAAUCACCUGUGAAACGUCUCAGAAAAUGUGUGUAGGUGUGGGCAGGUUAGCGUGUAAAUACAGUGACCCCUGCUUCGGGAGACUCUGCAGACCCCUGGCUUGUAAACAUCGUGAAGGAAGGAUCUACCCACAAUUCGCUGUGAAUUCUGCACAGUGACUAGUACAUCACUUGGUAUAAAAUGCACCUGAUUCCGUGCUCUGUUGUGCUGCUCAGACAUGGACAACUCACUCACAGGCCCUCAGACCUCCCGGAUGCCAGUCCAGCUUCAGGAACUUCUGCCUACUGCUACCUUCUCCAUUGGCAAGCAACACCUCCCCUCUCCCUCUCCCAGGACUUUCCCACAAGAUGCCCCGGAAGAUCCACCUACUGGUGAUGGUUACAGAGUGGAUUAUGGAUUCUAAAUUCCCUUCAAGCAAACACAGUAGGACUCUGAAGGAUUCACGAAUGUGCGACGUGGAGAUGGGCCUCAGGAACACAGGAUUUUAAAGUCC